UACGGAAGGCAGCAGUGGGGAAUAUUGCACAAUGGGCGCAAGCCUGAUGCAGCCAUGCCGCGUGUAUGAAGAAGGCCUUCGGGUUGUAAAGUACUUUCAGCGGGGAGGAAGGCGAUGCGGUUAAUAACCGCGUCGAUUGACGUUACCCGCAGAAGAAGCACCGGCUAACUCCGUGCCAGCAGCCGCGGUAAUACGGAGGGUGCAAGCGUUAAUCGGAAUUACUGGGCGUAAAGCGCACGCAGGCGGUCUGUUAAGUCAGAUGUGAAAUCCCCGGGCUUAACCUGGGAACUGCAUUUUGAAACUGGCAGGCUUGAGUCUUGUAGAGGGGGUAGAAUUCCAGGUGUAGCGGUGAAAUGCGUAGAGAUCUGGAGGAAUACCGGUGGCGAAGGCGGCCCCUGGGACAAAGCUGACGCUCAGGGUGCGAAAGCGUGGGGAGCAAACAGGAUUAGGAUACC
rnacentral:rRNA from 1 species